rnacentral:tRNA from 1 species
GCCGAGGUAGUCUAGUGGUAAGGCGCAAGCCUGGAAUGAGCUUGUGGGGGGAAACUCCCGCAAGGGUUCGAGUCCCUUCCUCGGCG